UAUAUAUAUAUAUAUAUAUCUCAAUCAUCUGUCCUGGCAAGACAUAGCCUUACAUAUUACACGCGACAAUAUAUGGCGCAGUGACUUAUGGGGCUGGAACAAAUUUUUUUUCCAGGGCUGCUUUGUAUCCCCAGUCCGGCCCUGCCUACCCCACAAACUCUCUCUUUUACACUACACAUAUACAUGAUGCAUCCUUACACAUACACAGAAACACACAAUGCAUCCCUACACACACACGAACAGAAACAUACAGUGCAUCCCUACUCACAUAGAAACACACAAUGCUUCGCUUACAAACACAGAAACACACAAUGCAUCCAUUACACACAAUGCAUA